GACGAACGCUGGCGGCGUGCUUAACACAUGCAAGUCGAACGGAAAGGCCCUGCUUUUGUGGGGUGCUCGAGUGGCGAACGGGUGAGUAACACGUGAGUAACCUGCCCUUGACUUUGGGAUAACUUAAGGAAACUGGGGCUAAUACCGGAUAGGAGCUCCUGCUGCAUGGUGGGGGUUGGAAAGUUUCGGCGGUUGGGGAUGGACUCGCGGCUUAUCAGCUUGUUGGUGGGGUAGUGGCUUACCAAGGCUUUGCAGGGUAGCCGGCCUGAGAGGGUGACCGGCCACAUUGGGACUGAGAUACGGCCCAGACUCCUACGGGAGGCAGCAGUGGGGAAUAUUGCACAAUGGGCGGAAGCCUGAUGCAGCAACGCCGCGUGCGGGAUGACGGCCUUCGGGUUGUAAACCGCUUUCGCCUGUGACGAAGCGUGAGUGACGGUAAUGGGUAAAGAAGCACCGGCUAACUACGUG
rnacentral:rRNA from 1 species